UAUGUGAUCGUCUCUCGCAUAUCAAUAAGCGGAGGAAAAGAAACUAACAAGGAUUCCCCUAGUAACGGCGAGUGAAGCGGGAAGAGCUCAAAUUUGAAAUCUUAAAGGGUUUCCCUUUACGAAUUGUAGUUUAAAGAAGUGUUUUCUGUUGAGGUUUUGGUAAAAGUUCUUUGGAAUAGGACAUCAUAGAGGGUGAGAAUCCCGUAUUUGACCUUUACUUUCAACUUUGUGAUACACUUUCAAAGAGUCGGAUUGUUUGGGAAUGCAGUCCAAAAUGGGUGGUAAAUUUCAUCUAAAGCUAAAUAUUGGCGAGAGACCGAUAGCGAACAAGUACCGUGAGGGAAAGAUGAAAAGAACUUUGAAAAGAGAGUUAAACAGUACGUGAAAUUGUCAAAAGGGAAGCGUUUGACACCAGUGUUGUUUUUCUGAAAAUCAAUUAAAGAACUGUUUAUGCUAAGUUGUUUAGACUUUAUCAGCUAACUGUUUAGUUUUGAGCUUUUCUUUAAUGCACUUUUCAGUUAACAAGUCAACAUCAAUUUCUUUUGCUGUAAAAAAGCUUGAGGAAGGUGGCUUGAGAUUCGUCUUAAGUGUUUAUAGCCUCUUGCCUAUGCAGUCGGAGAGAUUGAGGUCUGCAGCGUAGAUCCUUCGGGGCUAAAUGCAUUUGUGCUAAGUUAUAGCAUUUUAUAGACAACUUGUUGACUAUGAUUUGUCUUGUAGCUUACUCGCUUAUGUUAUUUUACCUACGCUUAGGAUGUUGAGCGCAUGUCUCUCUCU
rnacentral:rRNA from 1 species